rnacentral:lncRNA from 1 species
GCAAGAUAGGAAUCGAUAAAGUAAACCACACACAAGGUUCUUAGAUAGAAAACGUAAAAGGGUGUACAGAGUAAAAAAGGAGGUGGGGAGGUACCAACUCCCGAUGGAAAAACCUGGAAGUCUGCUUUGAUUCGCCCGAUAUCAACUACCGCUAGCUCUUGCAUGUUUCGUCCGGUAUUGCUUUGCUCUUCGCGUCCAAACGCCAAAAGCUCGCCUUGUCCGCUGCGGCUUGUACCUGAAAAUCACGCACACAACAAACCCCAAAAAAAAGCAAGGGGGGCUGGUAGGGGGUGAGGGCUGGGUAGUGAAGAGAGAAGAGAGAGAGAAGAGAGAGAUCUGGUUAGACAGAGGCACAAUCUAAUUUAGCAAUUCCCACAGUUUCGGUAUGCUCACCAUCAUGUAAACAUAAGAGGCACAAUUCUCGUUCCUGCCUUUGCUAUAGGAAAUAUUCUCAAAGCUUUGCCAGUUGUAGCUUUCACUCCCUACCACAAAGUUAACUUCAUUAAAAUAUGUUACAGAGCAAAACCAUAAAGAAAUCAAUAAGGAUUUCCAGCAGCAGUGCAACUCACCAGAAAAUGGGACCCUAUGCAGCCUAAAUCUUGGGAACCUCCACUUUCAUAUUCUCUUCACUCUUCAGCCAAGAUCAUAGUUUUCU